ensembl:lncRNA
UGCUGUUGACAGGGUAUGUUAGUUUCCCAUUGCUGCUGUAAGACACUGACAGAAUUUAGUGGUUUAACACAAAUGUGCUAUCAUGCCAUUCUGGAGGGCAGAAGCCGAAACCAGCUGUGCUAGGUUAAAGUGUCAGCAGGUCUGGUUUCUUUUGGAGGCUCCAGGGAGCGUCUGUUUCCUUCCUUUCCAGCUUCUAGAGGCUGCCUGAAUUCCUUGGUUCCUGGCCCCUUGUCCAUCUUCAAAGGCAACGGUGUUGCAUCUUCUGGUCUCUGCUUCCAGCACACCGCUUCUUGCUCUGACCCUGCUGCUUCUGCAUAUCAGCAUCCAUGGGAUUAAACUUGGCCCACUGUCUGGCUUAAUGGAAGACAACUGGGUUCUCCCAUCUACUGUGUUCCUUCUGAUCUGAAAUGCUGUCUGAAUUCCAGGAAGAAAAUGCAGCCUCAGAAAUACAUAGGUGGAAACAGGUAGGAGUAUUUUAAUAGCUUUUCCAGAGAAUUGUGAAUUUUCUCUUUCGAUGCCAAGACUUGAC